rnacentral:tRNA from 1 species
GAAAUAAAUAUAAAUUGAACUUCUAAUUCAAUAUUAAAUGAUUAAAAAAAUCAUUUUAUUUCU